AGGGCCACUUCCAGUCGGAUUGUCCGAGGGGUCCAUCGCCAGUGCCAUCGUCGGCAUCUGCACCAGCUUCGCCGUGUCCCAGCCAGGGGACACCUUCUGUACACCAGCAGGCCGGGCGGCCACCUGUGCAGCGGCAGUUGGAGGGGUCACGGCAGCCCCCGAGCAGGCGCAUGUACGCGGCCCAGAUUGAGGAGGCGGUAGCAGCCGAGAAUGUGGUCGCAGGUAUCAUUUUACUUUAUGGUAUUCGAGUACGAGCAUUAUUUGAUACCGUUGCAUCGCAUUCAUUCAUAGACCGGCUGUUUGCCGAGUUGCAUGGCAUCUCACUGAUAUCUUUGUUGCAUUCGGGACGAGUUGUAGUACCCGAUCACUUUUUGGAUAUUCGAGAGUUUUGCCCCAGUUGCCCUGUUCGUGUGGGAGAUUGGGUCAUGCUCGUGGACUUGCUAGCUUUGCAUAAACUCGGAGAGUUUGAUGUUGUUUUGGGCAUGGACUGGUUGACCAAGUAUUACGCCACUAUCGAUUGCAAGAAUCGAACUGUGACGUUUAGAGAGCCGGGGCAGGCGGAGGUUGUGUACCGAGGAUGCCAGAGUUUACUGUUCGCAAUGACAAUUAGCUCUUCUCGAGCUAGACAGUUGAUCAGCAGAGGCUGCGUAGCCUAUUUGGCUACUGUUGUGCUGCGGGGCGAUGCAGACGUCCCUAGGAUUGAGGAUAUCCCCGUAGUACGGGAGUUUGAAGAUGUGUUUCCAGCAGAGCUUCCAGGCAUGCCACCUGAUAGGGAGAUUGAGUUUAUGGUAGAUCUCGUUCCUGGGACUACUCCAAUCUCGAAGGCGCCCUAUAGGAUGGCACCAGCGGAACUGAAGGAGCUGAAGGCACAGUUGCAAGAUCUUCUGGACAAGGAUUUUGUGCGACUGAGUGUGUCACCUUGGGGAGCACCGGUUUAUUUGUCAAGAAGAAAGAUGAAUCACUUCGCUUGUGCGUGGAUUAUCGUGAACUCAAUAAAGUCACGAUCAAGAAUAAGUAUCCAUUACCAAGGAUUGAUGAUUUAUUUGAUCAGCUCCAGGGAUCUAGUGUGUAUUCUAAGAUCGACUUGCAGUCGGGAUACCACCAGUUGAAGAUCAAGCCUGAGGAUGUGUCGAAAACGGAUUUUAGAACACGGUACGGACAUUAUGAGUUUACAGUUAUGCCGUUUGGACUUACUAAUGCCCCGGCAGCUUUUAUGGAUCUAAUGAAUCGUGUUUUCAAGUCUUAUCUAGACAGGUUCGUCGUAGUAUCCAUCGACGACAUUUUGGUCUAUUCCCGAAGUGAUGCGGAUCACAAGGAACACUUAAAACUUGUACUUCAAGUACUUCGAAAAAAGAAGCUCUAUGCCAAGCUGAAGAAGUGUGAGUUUUGGCUUAGAGAGGUGGCGUUUUUGGGCCACUUGAUUUUGAGAUCAAGUAUAGCUGUGGAUCCUAGGAAAAUUGAAGCUAUCAAGGAUUGGCCGAGACCGACGAGUGUCACCGAGAUUCGGAGUUUUCUUGGCUUGGCCGGCUACUACCGACGGUUUGUUGAGGGAUUUGCAAAGUUAUCCACUCCCCUCACGAGGCUCACGCAUAAGGGCACCAAGUUUGUUUGGAAUGAUGCGUGUGAAUGGAGCUUCCAAGAGUUGAAGCAAAGAUUAACGACUGCCCCGAUCCUAACCUUGCCAACUGCUCGAGCAGGGUAUGUGAUUUAUAGUGAUGCUUCCUUUAAUAGAUUGGGCUGUGUCUGGAUGCAGGACGGGAAAGUGAUCGCGUAUGCAUCUCGCCAGUUGAAGGAUUAUGAAAGAAACUACCAUACUCAUGAUUUGGAGUUGGCGGCCGUGGUCUUUGCAUUGAAGCUGUGGCGCUAUUACUUGUACGGCGAGCGAUGCGAAGUAUAUACGGAUCACAAGAGUUUAAAGUAUUUAUUUACUCAGAAGGAGUUGAACUUGAGGCAGCGCAGAUGGUUGGAGCUACUCAAGGAUUACGACUUGACUAUACUUUACCACCCGGGCAAGGUUAACGUGGUGGCGGAUGCGCCAAGUAAGAAAUCGACGGAAAACUUAGCGAUGCUUGUGGUUACUCAACCACCGUUGAUCGAGCAGAUGAAGCGGUUGGAGUUGGACGUAGUGGCUCCUGAUACACCUUUGAGACUGAUGACUUUGGUGGUGCAACCUACACUUGUGGAAAGUAUUAAAGAAAAGCAAGACCUCGAUGUGGAGUUGCAAAGGAUUCGCGCUAAGAUGAUUGAUGGUUGCACCGGUGACUUUUCUGAGGACGGUGUUGGAUUGAUACGUUUCCGUGGACGGAUCUGUGUAUCGGCGGAAUCGGCACUUAGAGAAGAAAUUCUUCAAGAGGUACACCGAGCACCGUAUGCUAUACAUCCGGGAGGCACCAAGAUGUAUAAUGACUUAAAGUUGCUUUAUUGGUGGCCCGGGAUGAAAAAGGACGUUGGUGGAUUUGUUGCUAGAUGUCUAACUUGCCAACAGGUGAAAGCUGAGCACCGAGUUUCCGCGGAAAAAUUGCAGAGCUUACCGAUUCCAGUAUGAAAAUGGGAGAAUAUCACUAUGGACUUUGUGAUGGGUUUGCCCCGCUCACAGGCCAGGCAUGAUGCUAUUUGGGUGAUCGUGGAUAGGCUGACGAAAUCGGCACAUUUCGUACCUAUCCAUACUAUUUGGACUGGUGAGAGACCCGCACAGGUUUACUUGGACGAGAUUGUGCGACUACACGGGGUACCUACUUCUAUAGUAUCGGAUCGAGAUCCCCGAUUUGUAUCUCACUUUUGGAAGAGCUUACAGGAUGUUUUGGGUACGCGCUUAGACUUCAGUACAGCUUUCCACCUCCAAAGUGACGGGCAAUCAGAGCGCACUAUACAGACUUUAGAGGAUAUGUUCCGAGCAUGUAUGAUAGACUUUCAGGGAGGAUGGUCGCAGCAUCUACCGAUGGCGGAGUUUGCUUAUAACAAUAGUUAUCAAGCAAGCAUUAAGAUGGAGCCCUUCGAAGCACUUUAUGGACGGAAGUGUAGAUCGCCACUUCAUUGGAGUGAAGUUUGCGAGAGAUUGGCAUUAGGCCCAAAUGUGCUCCAGGAAGCUGAGGACAAGGUUCGAAUUGCUCGGGAGCGACUUUUGACGGCACAGAGUAGACAAAGGAGUUACGCCGAUCGACGACGGCGAGAUUUGGAGUUCAAAGUUGGAGACCAUGUUUUCUUGAAGGUCUCGCUGACUAGAGGGAUCAAGAGAUUUGGGAUUCGGGGAAAGUUGAGCCCCCGUUUUAUUGGACUGUAUGAGAUCUUGGAAUGUAUAGGUCCGGUAGCGUAUCGACUUGCUCUACCACCGAACCUAUCGGGCGUGCACAACGUCUUUCAUGUAUCGGUAUUUCAGAAGUACAUCCAUGAUCCAGCUCAUGUACGUGAAGCGACGCCAUUGGAGCUGAUGGAUGAUUUGAGCUUUGAAGAGCAACCUUUAAGGAUUUUGGCUCGUGAGGUGAAGAGGUUGAGGAACCGAGAGAUUCCUACGUGAAGGUGCUUUGGAGCAACCACGAGGAGCGCGAGGCCACUUGGGAGUUGGAGAGCGCACUGCAGGAGCGCUACCCCUUUCUUUUUCAGAUGGAGUCUUGAGGUAUGUAGUUGCUUUGAGUUUCGUUCGCGGACAAAACUCCUUUUUAGGAGGGGUGAAUGUAACACACUGGACCUGUGCAAAUUGCGAGUUUCGAGUGAUUGGAUGUGUUACGAGCUUUUUCACGCCUUGUGGAGGGUCGUAGAAGGUGUUCCGACCCAAAAAGUUCGAAUCCUGGAAUUCCAGCUAAGUCCUGAGAGUUUUACUCUCGGGGACCGGUCCCUGGUGGGAGAGACCGAUCCCCUUGGAACAGUGUUGCGACUGAUUGCGAGGCAACCGGUCCCUGACGGGUGAGACCGGUCUCCGAGCGCGUUUUCGCGGGGGGGGGAGACCGGUCCCAUGCGGGGAGAGACCGGUUCCCGAACGUUGGUUUUGCGGGACGAACCGAGAGACUGGUCCCAGGCAGGAAGAGACCGGUCCCUCUGGGCGAAAUCUGCCAAGACCGAACUUUGCACAGGUUGCAAAGUUGAGGGGCUUUUCUGGAUUUUGUUACUUUAGAGGGCCUAUAUGGCCAUUCCAACCUCUCUCUCCCUCAUUUCACACUCUCCCUUAUGCCCUAGGAGAAGAAGAGGGAGAAGAAGAAGGAGAAGAAGGAGGAGAGGAAGUAGAGCUUGUUUGAGCACAUGGAGCUUCACCCCUACCCUUUCUUCUUCCUUUUGGUGGCUUGGAGCUUGCUUUUGGAGCUUGAUGGUGGAACCAUCUUCAACCCAAGAGGAUUUUGAGCUUGGAUUGAAGCUUCUCAAGAGGUUAGUUGCCCAUUUCUCCCCUCUAGACCUAGUUUUGAUGGUUUUUGGGAGACAGAAUCCUAGAAUGGAAAAUCUAGGGUUUAUUUGGGGCUUUUUGAUUAAGGGCUUUUUGAGCUAAUCUAAUUGGAUUAGAACCUUGAUUUAGGUUGCUUUGAAAGGGACCUAGCUUCCAUUUGAGCUUUGGAAAGGGAUUUCUACACUAUAGGUGAGAUUUUGGCCCUUUUGCUUAGUAGAUUAAUGUUUGAGCUUGUAGUUGAUCGUAAGGUUCGUUUAACCUUUGUUCUUGUGCCUUUAGGGUACUAAGAGGCUAGGGGACACCUUCAUUGGAGCUUACGAAGGGUUUCGAGAUGGUUCGGUGGGUUUGACCUAGCCUGGUAUAUCAGAAAUUCUCAUAUCCUAUGUUUUAUGCUUCGUAAAGUAGAAAUUCAUGCAUUUUCAUGAUAAAUGUAAUUAUUGUGAAUUUUCGGAUGUUUAACAUGCCUAUGUUAUGUGUGAUAAAUUUUCAGACCUCUAUGUAGUAGAGAACUAGCAUAUGGAACUUGUACAUGAUUGGCAUCCUAUUGAGACUUGGAAUCAUAAUUCCUAUUGUGAAAAUGAGCAUUACUUUCAUGCAUUUAAAGCUAUUCCUACUUAAGACUUAAAGAAUCUUAGUAAGCCAUAGAGAGGCUUGGGGACUUGUAUUACUUGAGAAUAAUUGGGCUAAUGUCAUUAAGCGGCAUUGAGCUCGGGUCAUGUAUGAACCUGGUGUUAAGGUCAUUAAUGGAAUAUCGAAUAGGUGGUGUGCUUGACCUAUAGUAAUGCUUAAGUGUCAUAGAGAGGCACUAAACAUAGUAAGAGUUGGAACUUCACCUUGAAACAUAGAACUAGAUCGUUGGAUGCUAGUGGCUAUUACCAUGUUAGUGGCAUGAGGAUUGGGUACUUGAGAUGAUGAUUACGCUUGCUUGCCAUUUGUACUUAUUUGCACAUGCUUGUGAGGGUCGCUCCCUACAAGCCGGCACUCCGGAGUUGGCCUACGCGACUUAUGCUCGCUCGUGCGGUAUCGAGAAACCUACGGGGUCGGGAGGGAUAGACUCAUUCCUAGAGUGGGAAUGUUGGAGCUACCACCGACAAUUAGGUGGCACAAGCUGGACUACACUAUGUAGGUCCUAGAACAUGUUGGAAACAAUGACAUUGAACGGAAAAAUGACAAUCACUACUAGAUAGGCUUAGUAGUUGGAUUACUUUGACAUGCUUAUAGCAUAGUGCUGAGACAUGUAGUAUACUUGACAGUUUACUUGUUGCAUCAUAGUAUACUUGGUUGGCAUGAUAGAUCAUAAUCAUUAUACAUUGAUAGAACGGAUCAUGAUAUUUACUUGUUGCCAUGUUGGGACUUAUUGUUUUAUGCAUUGGACAUACUUCACUUUAAUAAAGCAAAUGUACAACACUUGGACAUCAUGUUUAUUCGCGACAUAGUAGCUUAGCACUUUUUUUAUGCUUUCAUAAAUACAAUCUAUUUACUAUUAUUAUUGCUUUUUGGACUUACCAUUUUCUUUUGGGGCCUAGUGGUGCAUUGAGCUGAGGUCAGUAAUUGCCCACUAGGAACUAUAAAUUAUAGUUCUCACGCCCUCUGUUUUAUAUCUUAUUUCAGAGCCUUCCACGCCGGGAGAGGCUAGUGAUUGCGGAAAGGGUAUCGCCUCGAGCUAGCUUGCUAUCAAGGGACGCGUUGAUAGGUGGUCUACCUUGAAAGUUUUGAGGAGCCCAAGGAUCUAUCUAGAUUGUAUCAUCACCUAGAGGGGGGUGAAUAGGUGAAAGUAACCAAAAACCACAAAUCUCAAUGCGAUAAAAAUAAAUGCGGAAAAUAAAAAUCACACUGAGAUUUACAUAGGAAAACUCCAAUUUGGAGAAAAAUUCACGGGACCAACACGCGAAAAAAUAAUCCACUAAGAGAAAAGAUUAUAAGGUGAUUAUCGACUCCACGGACUCAAUCUCUCUUAACCUCUUAUGGAUCUCGCGCAAUCCUCUGGGUUGUCCACGCCCUCACGUUCGAAUCCACGAACGCCUCGCACAUGUCCGAAUCCACGAACGCCACUCGAAUCCACGAGCCCACGAUACGAAUCCACGAACCGCCGUCAAACCCGCCGAAUCCACGACGCCAUCAUGAAGAACAUCAUGUGUAUGGUGAUCAUUCGCUUAGAGUAUCGAUGAAAAUCAGGGAAGCGAACUCCAAGCGAAGCGGAGAUCAAAUCGACAUAUUGAUAUGAAAAUCCAAUCUCUCGAUUUGACCUAAAAGAGGCUUUUUGUAAAAAAUAGGUUUUAGAUGAAAUCCGAGCCUCUAGGGUUUCUCAAACAUGUAUUUUCGUGAUGCUCGAUAUGUUAGAGAAGCCCAAUAGCUUAUUUAUAGACUUUAGAAUCAAUUGAAGUCAGAUUAGAAAGAUUUCACGAUUUUACACUGUGUACCGGUACACUUUAGGCUGUCACCGGUUAUACGAUGACGGAACGAAAAACCUGACGAAACAGUGAAACCGGUUACAUCCACGAUGGCCGUACUGGUACACAUUUUGUACCGGUACACUUCUGAUGCUGUACCAGUACACUUUGCAAAUUUUCGCCGUUUCGGAUUUUGCAAAGUUCCGAUGCACUUUCUAAUCCGUUAGACAUUGAUAUUAUGAUUCUAAUGUCUACAACUAAGUUGAAUCACCAUAAUCAUGAAUUAACACUUUACCUGGAUAUCGUGAUUCAAAGUGUGAGUUGUUUUCCAACUUCUUCGAAAUCUUGAAUUCUUCGAUCUUCGACAAUACGCACCGAUUCUUCAAGACUCCGACUCACUUCACGAAACUUGCCAACACUCAAGACUUAACAAUCUCCCCCUUUGGCAAUUUCGUGACAAAACUCACACAAACUCAAAAAUUACAAUUUAAAGAAAAAACGAAGUUCAAUUGUCAUCACCAAAACAUUGAACUCCUCGCGUGUAAUCCAAGUACAAUUUGAAACUUAAACUUACAUCAAAAACUCCUAAAACAGACUCUAUGACUUAGACGCAAUAAGGAGUCUUGAAGUCUUGAUUUCCUGCAAAACAAUUUAUCCAAAAAGAUAUAGAAAGUUAAAUUUACACUUCUCCCCUUUGUUCUUUAUUCCUUCUUCUUUGACAUCCUUACAAUUUACACUUCUCCCCUUUGUUCUUUAUUCCUUCUUCUUUGACAUCCUUACAAUUUACACUUCUCCCCUUUGUUCUUUAUUCCUUCUUCUUCUCGAAAUAUCACUCCUUGUCUCCCUUUGUUCACCUUUGCUUUAGAUCAAUACCUGUUCAUCAUUGUUCCCCCCCUUUUUGUCAAAAAUUGCGAAAGAUAAAAUAUAUAAAGAGAGAAAACAUACUAAAAGCAUAAGAGUAGUCAAAUCAUAGUUACAGGCCUAAAACAAAAGUAAAAACAUGCAAAUGAAAGAUAAGCAAGCAAAGCUAAAACAUCGUCCUAAAAGUGAAGUAGCAAGACUAAGUGCGAGGAUGUAAUCACUCCGUGUCCUUGCCAUCAUCAUCAUCACCUCCUGCACCAGCUCCAGACCCUCCAGCCUUAGUAGUAUCACCAGACGGUGGAAUGAGUGGAUGUCGUGAAGUCGAUCUGGCAUAAGUAGUGUAGGUAGGCUCAGUAGGAAAGAUAUCAUCAUGCCUACACCCCAUUUUCUCCAUCAUCCUCUUCAAUCCUAUCUCCACCUUUCUAGCAAGAUCUGCUAAUUUCUUCUUCAUAGAGCGCACCUCAUGGUGAAGGGAUUCGACAGUAAUCACUCCCCCUGAGCUAGAAGAUCCCUCACGCGCUGCUCGAGGUGGAGGUGCUGAACUAGAAGCUCCUCUGGAUGAUCCUUUGGUUUGUUGAAAAGUCUUCAAUGUGCUCCUUGACUUUGCCCAAGUUACAGCAUCAAUAGGUCCAAGUCCAAAAUCAUACUUCUCACAUGACACGUCAACACCAUUUUCCUGAAGAAUCCUCGUGAUCAAUAACGGAAACGGAAGAAGAUCACGGCGAACCUGAGACUGUAUGACAUGAACCAUUCGUUGCCACAUAAGAAAAGGAAUAUUGAUGUUCAAUCCUCUUGCUUCUUCAGGAUGUCCAAGAAGAUACAGAAGCACAAGACGAUCCCACCGAAUUCUUUUCGUUCCAAUUGUAGGUUGAACGUUGUAGCUCAUCACCAAUGACAGUAGAUGAUAUUCAGGUAGCAAAUCCUUAGAUUCCACAUAUGAAUGAUUAGUCCUAACACCUUCCUUGCAUAUAGCUUGAAUAACAGUCUCCCAGUGAGUUGAAGACUGAAAAAGCCCUGUCGUAUAGUGAAGGCCGGUAGUAUCAAUAUGCAUACCUAAGAGCUCUCCAAUAGUAUAAGGAGUGACGUGAAUCUUCUUUCUACGCACAUAAGUCUCAAACACAUAAGUCCCAGUCUCCUCAUCCUCUCCAAGUACUACCCCGUUCAUAUAGAACUCUCGAAUUAGCUCUACACAAAAUGGGGCACGAGCUGGAACCCGUCCAACAGGCUCAAUAGGGACCCUCUGCAGCAAUUGGCCAAAAUCUGGUACCUCCUUGACCAGCUCAGUGAAGUUGACAUAGCGCUCAGCUAGAACUGAUCGGCUCAAGUAAAUUUGCUGUCGUUCUAAUGAAGCCUCUGCAGCACGUUUGGAGCGCCUUUCACGUGCACGAGAAUCACCUCCUCGUGAGGAUUCGCCUGCUACGCCUUUUCCUUUAGCAGCCCUCGUAACCGCUUCUUCAGUAGCUUCAGAUAAGCUUGCUUGAUAAUCUGGAUCUGAUCCUGAUGACUCGUCGGCAGUACGAGUUCUCUUUGAUGACCCACGUCGUCCUCGACCACCUCCACGGCCACGACCGGCGGCCAUAAGCACCAAAAGCAGUAGCACAAGCGAGAAUGCCAUUUUCCUAUAUCAAAAAUUGCAUAUAUGAACAAAUUUUUAAAAAAAAAUCUAUAAAAAUAGCAAAAAUUUUUUUAAUAACAUUAGAAUGCAUACAAAUGCUAUUUCUAAUAAGAUCAUGCAAAAAUUUUCAUCAAAAAAUGACAUUUUACAAAAAAUCCCGAAAUUACAUGAAAAAUGAAGCUUAGAACAUGGAUCAGCGAAAACUAAUGUGUUUUGAUGUGAUUCAAGUGUUCUGGAAACAAGAUAAUGUCCUUAAGCACUGAUCUACAGCAAAAAAAUUUCAUCAAAAACGAUCAAAAACAGAGAUCUAAACAUGAACUCAAAAUUUUUUGAAAAAUAUGUAAAAACGAGGUUUGAUCCAUAAAUCCGAGCAAACAACUUACAAAUCCACGUGAAAAGCAGUAAAUCUGAAGGAGAUCAUCGCCUAGGAGCUUCAGGAGAAGAAAGAUGCGGUUUUGAUGAAGAUUUGGGAGAGAAUCGAAACGUGUAUCCGGUUAUAUAACCCGCGGCUACAGUAAUUUGUACUGGUACGGGAUUUUGUACCGGUACACUUUCUCAGAUUUUGAAAAUUUGAAUUUAAAAACCUUUUAAACUUAAAUUAAUUUCAUAUAAAUUAAGGACUUUACUCCAAAAAUCAUUAUGAUGAAGAUAAAAUAUUAUAAGAUUUCAAAAUACAUCGAAACACUAAAAUUUGUUAUCGAAAAUAAUCUAAUGAUUCAAAACCAUCAAGAUGUAAGUUGAUGAAAAAUGAUUUUUUAGAAACUCAACAAAAUUGACACCAAUUUAUCGCAAUAUGUUCAAAAUAGAGAUUUAACUAAUAUGACCGGGGUGCUUUUGAGUAUCUUUUUUCAACUACACAUUAUAAUCACGAAAAAUUCUAAAUAUUCAAUUUUUUUUCAACCUUUUUCGGUUUCAAAUUUAAUCUUUCAUGUGGUAGGGCUUCACGACACUCUGCGGACACGACCGGGGGUGGUGUCCUUUUCCUACAUGUGGUGGUCAGGUUUUUCCACAUCCUUUUGGAUGUAACUCUUUCCACAUCUUUUAAACACUCAGAGUUUUUCUUAUUUUUUUUUAAUUCGAACCAUCGCCCCCUAAAUUAAGCACAAUCUUCAAUUGAAAAUAAUUUUAACAAAUUUUAGUCUAUUUAGCAGUGAUCCAUAUAUCAUACUCACAACACACACAACCGAGAGUAGAUUAAUCAUCAAGAGAUCAAAUUUGAUUAUGUGAAGCAUAAAUACUACUAUUACUAUAUUAUGUAUAUUAAUAUAACUAUAUAUACUAUAUAUAAGUUAAGAAAAAAAAAAAAGAGAAGGAAGAGAUGUGUAUGCAGAUGAUCAUGCACUAGUGCAGGAUAAAAAUUUGAAUUCAGAAUUUUGAAACCCUGGUGCAUAGGUUAAAUCAUACACCAGGUCGGUCACAGAUAUCAAAAAGGUGGAUGUUUCGCUAUGGCAGAAUGAGAAUGGUGUAUCAAAAAGCAAGUUAGUCUCUUCCCUUUCAUGUAUUUGCAAAGAAUGCUCUUCAAACAUAUACAUAUUCUGUUAUUUUAAUUAGAAUUAUAAUAUAUAUACAAAAGGAAGGACAAUAUACAAUUUAAUACCCAUAACCUCAUUCGAUCCCAUCGUAACUUCCAACCUUCUCCCACAAAUCCACAUACCCACGAUCCCAGACAGUUACGACUGGAUCCCAUAAAUUACUCUCUCCGCAUGAGAAAAAGAGGGAUCACGGUGCUUUUUUGAACUUUCAAACCAAUUCCUAAACAAAAAAAUCCACUAUUCCUGUCUACAAAGGAGGAAAACCAAAGUAAAAAAAAAAAAAAAAGUUAUUUUUCUCAUUUCCAUCAAUCGACAAUAACAAAGUCUCUCUCUCCUCUAAAAAAAAAACAAAAAGAAAAAGAAAAGAAAAAGAGAGAAGAAGAAAAAAGUCCAUCUCAGAAUCUCUCUCUCUCUCUCUCUCUCUCUUGAAACGCACACGACACCACAGCCCGACACCAACCUCGUCCUCCUCCGCCAUGGAUAGCUCAUCUUGGUGGAGCGGCACCAUUGGAUCCGCUGGUGGCCGUGGUCACCCAUCCAACUUCGCUCACACGGCGCCCAUGAUGGUCGCGUUCGCAAGUUCGCGUUUCGCCGCCGCGAACGCCGAGUUCGCUGACCCUGACGUUCUGCCGAGGCCGACCGGCUCCUCGCCGACGCUUAAGCUAUCCAGCGCGCCAGAGUGACGGCGCUAUUCUCGAAGACACGGUCACGAACUAACCCCAACGGCCCGCGUGCGCUCCUCGCUGACACCUGUGCCCGAGGCCGCCCGCCUCCGCUUGUCCGACCUUGCUCCGCUGAGGCCGUCGCCCGAGGCCGCCGCGCUCCGAGGUCGCCUGCUCACUCCCGACGACACUCUGCGGGCUCCUCGCAGGGCUCGAUCGCACCUUCUGCUCCGGGCAUGACCUCACAACCAGCCGUCUCUCUGCGCUGACCUCAACUACCCCGACGGCCCCCCUCCUCGCCGGACCUGCUGGAUAUCGCCUCCGCAAGGUAUCGCACCUCGCGACGGCUGAUAGACCACCGCACUCGGCACACGCAGGCGUCUCCGCCAUGCCCCGCGUCACAUUACUCGACUAUCUCCGCGCACAUGGCCGCGAACCUUCCGCCCCAACUCCUUCUCGUCACCGCGACGGCAUCGACUCGCGAACGUUCACCGCGGCCGCCGUCGCCUUCCGCUCACUCGACUUCUCUGCGCGCAUGCCCGCGGACUCGCACCGACAGUCCGCCGUGGUCAAGCCGCCAUAGAUUGCGCUUCAAGUGCGCGUUCCACCUCCGUCGACACGUNNNNNNNNNNNNNNNNNNNNNNNNNNNNNNNNNNNNNNNNNNNNNNNNNNNNNNNNNNNNNNNNNNNNNNNNNNNNNNNNNNNNNNNNNNNNNNNNNNNNNNNNNNNNNNNNNNNNNNNNNNNNNNNNNNNNNNNNNNNNNNNNNNNNNNNNNNNNNNNNNNNNNNNNNNNNNNNNNNNNNNNNNNNNNNNNNNNNNNNNNNNNNNNNNNNNNNNNNNNNNNNNNNNNNNNNNNNNNNNNNNNNNNNNNNNNNNNNNNNNNNNNNNNNNNNNNNNNNNNNNNNNNNNNNNNNNNNNNNNNNNNNNNNNNNNNNNNNNNNNNNNNNNNNNNNNNNNNNNNNNNNNNNNNNNNNNNNNNNNNNNNNNNNNNNNNNNNNNNNNNNNNNNNNNNNNNNNNNNNNNNNNNNNNNNNNNNNNNNNNNNNNNNNNNNNNNNNNNNNNNNNNNNNNNNNNNNNNNNNNNNNNNNNNNNNNNNNNNNNNNNNNNNNNNNNNNNNNNNNNNNNNNNNNNNNNNNNNNNNNNNNNNNNNNNNNNNNNNNNNNNNNNNNNNNNNNNNNNNNNNNNNNNNNNNNNNNNNNNNNNNNNNNNNNNNNNNNNNNNNNNNNNNNNNNNNNNNNNNNNNNNNNNNNNNNNNNNNNNNNNNNNNNNNNNNNNNNNNNNNNNNNNNNNNNNNNNNNNNNNNNNNNNNNNNNNNNNNNNNNNNNNNNNNNNNNNNNNNNNNNNNNNNNNNNNNNNNNNNNNNNNNNNNNNNNNNNNNNNNNNNNNNNNNNNNNNNNNNNNNNNNNNNNNNNNNNNNNNNNNNNNNNNNNNNNNNNNNNNNNNNNNNNNNNNNNCUCCUCGACGCCGACGAUGCUGCGCCGCUGUAGCCCUCGCCGGGCUCGGCCGCGCCUCCUUUGCUUCGGCAUUAAUGUCACCACCCGCCCAGGUGCUCCCAAGGUCGCUGGACCUCGAUGCCGCUGAAGCCGCCUGUGGUCCCGGACAUGCUCCGAGACAUCAACCCGAGGCGCUGCUCCCGGGCGUGCUCCAAUCAUACCUCCCGGACCUGCUCCGAGACAUCUUGACUCGAGGCGCUCCGCCCGGACAUGCUCCGAAACACCAAUCCGAGGCGUUGCUCCUGGACAUGCUCCAACCCAUGCUCUAACCCGAGGCGUCACUCCUCGCCAAUCCACGCCGCCUACGUCGCUAUGGGACGUCCCGACCCGAGCUCCUUCGAAUUCCACCGAGCUCUGUCGAACGCCAUCCAUCCGUUCGAUGAAAUGGCCGAAUGAAACCGGAGAACGCCCACCAACCGCUCGACGGCGAACCUGAGAGAUAGAGCGGUGCUCUCCUCUCAAACGGAUUCCACCCGUCCGUCAAGUGCUCGACAUACCCGGAGUCCGCCCACCAACUGCUCGACGGCGAACCUGAGAGAGAGAGCGGUGCUCUCCUCUCAAACGGAUUCCACCCGUCCGUCAAGUGCUCGACGUACCCGGAGUCCGCCCACCAACUGCUCGAUGGCGAACCUGAGAGAGAGAGCGGUGCUCUCCUCUCAAACGGAUUCCACCCGUCCGUCAAGUGCUCGACGUACCCGGAGUCCGCCCACCAACCGCUCGACGGCGAACCUGAGAGGGAGAGCGGUGCUCUCCUCUCAAACGGAGCCGCCCGCCAAGUAUUCGACAGCGAAUCUGAGAGAGAGAGCGGUGCUCUUCUCUUUGCAAAAAAAAAAAGAGAGAAAAAGAGAAAGAUAGUACUUCUCUAAUCAUGAUUAUGAAAGAGAGAGGGAGCUUUGUAAAAAAAAGAGGGAGGCAAAGGAGGGAUCUUCCCACCUUAGUUGUCCCCAAGAUGUAAAAAAUGAUGAUGAUGAUGAAUGAUGCAUCUCUUUUUUUUAAGAGACAGAGAAAAAAUAUUCUCUUAAUUCUCUUUCAGUGGAGAAAUAAAAGAAAAUUAAGUAGAUUUCUGAUUAAUAUUCUUUUGAUUUGAUAGUGUUCGAAAAUAAUGGAACUGUUCAAUUUGAUCGAAUUAGAUCAAAUUGGUUGGAUAUCGUAUACGAUUGAGGAAUUGACAAACUUGGAUGAACUUGAUUUUGAACCAGAUACCGAAAUAUUUUGAUCUCAUAUAGACUCAAAAUCAAACUCGAAUCCAAAUUCGACUCGAAUCCAAAUCAAACUCGGAUCCAAAUUCGACUCGAAUCCGAACCCAAAUUUGAAUCCGAAUCAAAUUUGAAUUCGAACCCAAAUUCGAUCUACAUUCGAAUCCAAAUCAAAUUCGAAUCCGAAUCCAAAUCAAAUUCAAAUCCCAUAUCAACCCAAAUCCUAAAUUAAACCCAAACCCAAAUCUCAACCCAAAUUGAGUCCAAAUCCAAAUUCAAACCCAAAUCCUAAAUUAAACCCAAACCCAAAUCUCAACCCAAAUUGAGUCCAAAUCCAAAGCCCAAGUCCAAAUCCUAUAUGAAGCCAAAGCCCAAGUCCAAAUCCAAAAUGAACCCAUAUUGAGCCCGAGUCUAAAUUCAAAAUGAUUUGGCCCAUUUUGAACCCGAAUCCAAAAUAAAUUGAGCCCAUUUUGAGCCCAAAAUCCACAUAUGAAUUGAGCCCAUUUGGAGCCCAAUUACCAUACAAAACCCAAACCUAUAACCCAAUCCAAUUAAACCUUAGCCCAAUUCUAAACCCAUAUACUAUAACCCAAUCCAAUUAAAUCUAGGCCUAGUCCAAAGCCCAGAGCCCAUUUACAAAUGGCCCCAGUCCAAAACCCAUUUGGGCCCACUAUCUAAACCAAUUAUCCAAAACCAUUAACCCAUAAAUCCAUAUACAUAAACCUAUAUACAUUUACCCAUGAACCCAUACACAUUUAACCCAUAUCCAAGCCCAUAACCUUAACCAAGUCCAUGAACUUUGAACCAAAACCAUGGACCAAACCAUACACUAAAUCCUGUGGACCAUACCAUACACCAAAUCCACGAAUUAUGAAUCAAGUUCAUGAAUCAAAUCAAGUUCAUGAGCCAAGGAUCAUAAACCACAACCCAUACACCAAGUCCAUGAACCAUAAACCCAUACACCAAGUUCAUGAACCAUAAACCCAUGAACCAUAAACCCAUGAACCAUAAGUCCAUAAACCAUAAGUCCAUGAACCAUAAACCCAUGAACCAUAAGUCCAUGAACCAUAAACCCAUGAACCAUAUCUAAGUUCAUGAACCAUAAUCCCAUAUGCCCAAUACCAUAAACCUUGUGAGCCAAACCCAAAUCAAUCGACCGAGAUGUCGUUAAACUAAUCCACUAAACCCAAACCUUCGACCGAAACGUCGUUAAACUAAUCCACCAGAUCAAUCGACCGAGACGUCGUUAAACUAAUCCUCCAAUCCGAUAUCUACCGAAAUGUCGUUAAACUAAACUCAAGUUCAAUUUUCAUGAACAUCCCAAUUCCCAAAAUAGUCGAUUCUCUAGCAUAUAAAACUAGAGUCAAAUCACAAUCAUGUUCAAACUUGAUCAAAUUCUAAACCUAUAUUUAGAAUUGAUCAAACCAUCUGAUCAAAUUAAUUUGUUGGAUUCCAAUACAUACACUUGGAGUUUAAUUUAAAUCAAAUCUGACUAAUCCUAAUACAUAUAAUUAGGAUUUAGUUAAUAUUUCACCUUGAGAUGAACCAAAAUCAAAUGUGACUAAGCUCUAAUACAUAAACUUAGAGCCUAAUUGUAUCAGACUCUAAAAUAUAAAAUUAGAGUCUAAUUCAAGAUAUUUGGGGCUAAUCCUAACACAUAUAUUUAGGAUGAAAGCUCAAAUCAAACUCUAUUGGACUUUAUUACAUAUAUUUAAAGUUCAGAGUUUAAUCAAGUUCGAUUAAAUUCCAAUGUAUAUAUAUGGGAUUUAAUCAAUCUUUCAUCUCAUGGUAAACAAAGUUGAGCUCCAAAAUAUAUAGAGCUCAACAAAAUCUGAUCAUCUAUUGGACUUUAUCACAUACAUUUAAAGUUCAAUUAACCAAAUCAAACUCUAAUACAUAUAAUUAGAGUUUAAUCUGAAUUAAAUCUGAUUAAAUUCCAAUGCAUAUAUAUAUGGAAUUUAAUCAAUCUUUCAUCUUAGGGUGAAUAGUGUUGAGCUCCACAACAUAUAGAGUCCAACAAAAUUAAUUUGACCAUAUAUUGGGUAUCUUAGAAUAUAUAACUAAGAUACAAUUGAAAAAUACAUUUUCUUUACGCUCUAUUCAUGUACACUGAGGGUAUGCCCUUGGUUAAAGCCAUGUAAUUGAGCAAUAAAUUAUAAAUUUUCUUUUGUCCAAUUCCAGUUUAUCUUCAGCAUUUCAGAAGUCUCUUAAUCGAAGGUGCCCUAAUAUUCUGUAGGGGUAAUUAACAAUAGACGCUUGCGUUUAUUGGAAGCCAUGGAUCCGCAAUACCUGAUAACCAUACAUACACAUACUUUAAUCUACAUCAUGAAUACUACCCCACGGGAGAACCAAAAGAUAAAAAUUCCCCGUGCGAGGUGCGUCAUUCGUGGUGGCAGACAGAUUACAGAAUUUUGAUGAAUAUAUGCAUUAAGAAAUCAUAUAUCAAAUUAUCGUCAAAAUAAUAAAGAGUGGAGUAAAAACGAUAUUUAAUAUGAAUUUAACUUAAUAUGAUUGUGAUGUUAAACACCGUUUAAACAACUUUGAAAAAUUUCUCUCCUCAACAUAAUGAUUCUCAAUCAUCUCCUCUCUCAAAAAUUUUGAAUUCCAAAACACCUUUCCUCAAAAAUGAUUUUUAACCGAAUAAAAACCAAAGCACCAAAAAUCGUCUAAACAUGUAAUGCAAUGAUUAAAAAUAUGCAAUAAGCACCAAACAAAGCAUUACAUAAACAAUAAAACAACUAAGACGAGAAGCAAGGAAAGAUAUCACCUUUCCGGAUCCAAACUUGUCGGAUCUUUGGUUUUCUCGGCUUGUCGACGAUCAGUGCCGUUUGCUUAGAUUUUUGAUCAACCGUUGGUCGUUUCGUCGCUUGAGGCUUUGGUUGAACUUUGCGUUGAGGUUUAGAAGUUUGAUUCUUUUGAAGUACCCGACUCACUUGAUUUCUCUUUUGAUUCCGCGGGGGAAGUCGAGUUGUAGUUGAUGUCACUUGAGGUUUAGACAUUGCCGAUUGAUUCUUCGUUUUCUUAUUUGAGCAAUUCUUUUUAAUGUGUCCUUUCAUGCCACAUUUAUGACAUACCUUCUCUUUCGAAAUUAUUGAGACUUUAGAAGUUGAUUGUGAAUCCUUCUCAACGUAUGUCCGUUCAUAACCAAGACCCAUCUUGUUUGUUUGACCCAAUCCAAGCAUUUGAUCCAAUUUCUUAGAUCCCAAUGAAAACUAUUGAAUGUCGGUUUGGAGUUGACGAACUUGGUCGAUCAAGGCUUGAUUGGACUUGUGCGAUUCAUGAAAUUGAUGCUCCAAAAAUCCAAUCUUGUCGUUAGAAGAUUUGAUCGUUGAUUCCGCUUCAUUAAGCUUCUCUUGGAGGUCCGAAUUAUUUUUCAAAAUUGAUUCCCUUUCCUCCUCAAGAGCUUUGUUCGUGGUCUUCAAGUUGUUGUUUUCCUCUUCGAGAUUCAACAAACGACGCCUCAACUUCUUAUUAAGUUUAGCCAUCUUCUUUGAUUCGAUAAGAAGCUGAUUGUAUGCUUCCGCAAUGUCGUCGUCAUUUGAUUCCUCCUCGCUUUCGCCAUUGUCGCUCGAAGAAUCAUGCGAAGAAAGAGAAAUAUUGGAAUUAGUAGCAAUAGAGGAUAAACAUACAACGUUAGACGAAGGCAAGGUUGAUUUAGCAAAUAAAGCAAGAUUUCCAUUCUUUUCUUCGUCACUUGAACUUGAAUCACUUGAAGUUGUAUCAUCCCACGUCUUUGCUUGCAAAGCCUUUUGCUUAUAAGCCUUCUUUGAAGGACAAUCCGUCGCGAUGUGGCCGUAGCCUUUGCACUUGUAGCAUCGGAUCUCGCCUUCAAAUUCUUCCUUUUCUUUUGAAGCCUUUGCACGCUUCUUCUCGUUAGAAGAUGAAGACUUAGGAAACGUUUAUUGCUUCGAAGAUGAAGGUUUAUUCGAUUUGUUCUUUGGAAAAUUCCGGCGAAACUUUUUCGUGAGAAGCGCAAGUUGAUGUUCAAAGUCGGCAAGCGAUACAUCUUCAUCGGAUUCCGAAUCGUCUUCUUCUUUCUUUGUAGAUUUCAACGCGACCCCUGUGCUUUUAGAAGAAGACUUGACAAAAGAUUGAUUAGUAGGAAAAGUCAUUUCAUAAGUUUGUAAUGCACCUAUUAAUUCCUCGACUUUCAUCUUGUCCGGAUGUUUGACUGUUUCGAUCGCGGCUACUUUAGCCCGAAAACGUUCCGGAAGAGUUCGAAGAAUUUUUACGAACAACUUUAGCAUCCGGGAUCUUCUCUCCCAAAUUAGCACAUGUGUUAAUAAUAUCUUGAAGUCUAGUAUAGUAAUCGGUGAAAGAUUCAUACUCCUCCAUACGAAUAGAAUCAAAUUGACUAGUCAACAUUUGGAGCUUUUGAAUUUUUACUAAACUAGUACCUUCAUGUGUAAUUUGUAGAGUGUCCCAAAUUUUCUUGGCGGUUUCACACACCGAAACGUGAGUAAACUCCGUUUGUGACAGUGCAUUAAAUAAAGCGUUUAUGCCCUUGCCAUUAAACGAAAAUGACUCGUUUUCAUCUUCGUCCACUUGGUCCGUGGUUUUGGCGUUUUAACAUUCUCGACCUUUUCAAUAGGAUGUUUCCAUCCAAAUUCAAUAGAUUGCCAAACGCGCUCAUCGAUUGCAAUUAGAAAAGCUCUCAUGCGAACUUUCCAAUAGGCAUAGUUUGUGCCAUCGAAAAGCGGUGGUCGAUUAAUGUUUCCACCUUCGGCCAUUAGACAACAAUUUAUCUAGAUCCUGCUCUGAUACUAAUUGAAAGUUUUGAGGAGCCCAAGGAUCUAUCUAGAUUGUAUCUAUCACCUAGAGGGGGGUGAAUAGGUGAAAGUAACCAAAAAUCACAAAUCUCAAUGCGAUAAAAAUAAAUGCGAAAAAUAAAAAUCACACCGAGAUUUACGUGGGAAAACUCCAAUUUGGAGAAAAACCCACGGGACCAACACGCGAAAAAAUAAUCCACUAAGAGAAAAGAUUACAACGUGAUUACCGACUCCACGGACGCAACCUCUCUUAACCUCCUAUGGAUCUCGUGCAAUCCUCCGGGUUGUCCACGCCCUCACGUUCGAAUCCACGAACGCCUCGCACACGUCCGAAUCCACGAACGCCACUCGAAUCCACGAUCCCACGAUCCGAAUCCACGAACCGCCGUCAAACACGCCGAAUCCACGACGCCAUCAUGAAGAACAUCAUGUGUAUGGUGAUCCUUCGCUUAGAGUAUCGAUGAAAACCAGGGAAGCGAACUCCAAGCGAAGCGGAGAUUCGACAUAUUGAUAUGAAAAUCCAAUCUCUCGAUUUGACCUAAAAGAGGCUUUUUGUAGAAAAUAGAUUUUAGAUGAAUUUCAAGCCUCUAGGAUUUCUCAAACAUGUAUUUUCAUGAUGCUUGAUAUGUUAGAGAAGCCCAAUAGCUUAUUUAUAGACUUUAGAAUCAAUUGGAGUCGGAUUAGAAAGAUUUCACGAUUUUACACUGUGUACCGGUACACUUUAGGCUGUCACCGGUUACACGAUGACGGAACGAAAAACCUGACGAAACAGUGAAACCGGUUACAUCCACGAUGGCCGUACCGGUACACAUUGUGUACCGGUACACUUCUGAUGCUGUGCCGGUACACUUUGCAAAUUUUUGCCGUUUCGGGUUUUGCAAAGUUCCGAUGCACUUUCUAAUCCGUUAGACAUUGAUAUUAUGAUUCUAAUGUCUACAACUAAGUAUAAAUCACCAUAAUCAUGAAUUAACACUUUACCUGGACAUCGUGAUUCACAGUGUGAGUUGUUUUCCAACUUCUUCGAAAUUUUGAAUUCUUCGAUCUUCGACAAUACGCACCGAUUCUUCAAGACUCCGACUCACUUCACGAAACUUGCCAACACACAAGACUUAACAUACCUCUCGUUGUUUUCUUUUUGGAGAGGUUGAGAGUUAUAUCCAUGUAUAGUGACCACCCUUUUGUGUACCCUUUUUUGGAGAUGGUUAUUGUAUAACUUUAUGACUCACUUUUAUUGUUUAGUAUAUUUUUUCUACCACCUUGUCAUAGAUGAUAGAUUUACUCUUGCUCUGAUAUCUCUAGUUGUAGAUCAUCUUUUUGGUUUUAUUUUCCGCUGUUAUUGUAGACGCCUUAUAUGUGUUGACAUAUGGCGGGUCUGGGCGCGCUACCGGGAGGGCCUCCGCCGGUCCCGGGGCGUGACACGAUAGGUUUUGCCGUGGGGUAGUAUUCAUGAUUCAGAUUAGUAUGUAUAUGUAUAUAGGUAUUAGGUAUUGCAGGUCCAUGGCUUCCAAUAGGUGCAAGCAUCUACUGUUAAUUACCCUCGUGGCAUUGGGGCACCUUCAAUUAAGAGACCUUUAUAGAGAGGAUGGGAUGAAUCGUAUCUUGAUUGAUUGAUUGAUUGAACCAUAAGCAUAUGUAUUAGGAUUCAGUUGGAUUUGAAGUUGACUAGGUUCUAAGUAUAUGUGUUAAGAUCUAGUCGAUAUUAGACUCUAAGUAUAUGUCUUAGAGUUCGAUUAUAUUCACCUUGGUUGUAUGUUCCAAGGUGGAGAUGUGACCAAACCCCAAGUAUAUGUAUUGAGGUAGGUCGGAUUUGAUAUUACCCGAAAGUAGAGAGUGGCUAAUUUUUGAGUGUAUGUAUCAGGAUUAACCGAGUUUAAUAUAUUUUCCACUCUAGUUAUAUAUGCUAGAGUGAGGAUCUAACUAAACCCUAAGGUAUUGCGUUAGGGUUCGUCGGAUUUGAUUUGCAUGAGUUCUAAGUAUAUAUAUUAGAAUUCAAUCGGGUAUGAAUUUCACUCUAGGUAGAUAUGCUAGAGCAAAAGGCUGACUAGGCCCUAAGUGUAUGUGUUAGGACUAGUCGAGCUUGGUUUGACUUCCACUCUAGGUAUAUGUGCUAGAGUAAAAGGUUAACUAGACCCUAAGGAUAUGUGUUAGGGUUAGUUGGAUGAACUCUAAGUAUAUGUGUUAGAGUUCAAAUAAAUUUGAUAUCAUUUGACCGAAUUCUAAGUAUACAAUUUAGAACUCUGUCGAUUUAGAGAUGGAGUUGACUUAGCCCUAAGUAUAUGUAUUAGGGGUAGUUGAUUUUGCGUUUGAUUUUUACUCUAGGUAUAUGAGCUAGAGUAAAAAAAAGGUUCAUGAUGAACUUUGGGCAUGAACUUGAUAUAUGGUUCAUGAGAUUUGGGUAUUGGCUCAUGAGAUUUGGUGCAUGGAUUUGGUUCAUGAGAUUUGGAUAUGGUUUGGCGUAUGGCUCAUGGGAUUUGGUGUAUGGUUCAUGAGGUUUGGUAUAUGGUCCAUGGGAUUUGGUCCAUGAGAUUUGGUUAUGGGAUUUGUGUUAUGAACUUGGGUAUGGUUUGGUUCAUGGUUCAUGAGGUUUGGUUUACUAACUUGGUUUAUGGAACUUGGUUUAUGGACUUGGUUUAUAGUUUAUGAACUUGGUUUAUGGUUCAUGAGGUUUAUGGUUCAUGAGGUUGGGUAUGUGAGAUUUGGUUCAUGAACUUGGACAUGGUUUAGUGUAUGGUUCAUAGGAUUUGGCGUAUGGUUCAUGAGAUUUGGUAUAUGGUCCAUGGGAUUUGGUCCAUGAGAAUUUAUUAUGGGAUUUGUGUUAUGAACUUGGGUAUGGUUUGCUUCAUGGUUUAUGAGGUUUGGUUUACGAACUUGGUUUAUAGACUUGGUUCGUGGUUCAUGAACUUGGUUUAUGGUUCAUGAGGUUCAUGGUUCAUGAGGUUGGGUAUGUGAGAUUUGGUUCAUGAACUUGGAUAUGGUUCAUGGAUUUGGUGUAUGGAUUUGAUUCAUGGUUCAUGAUUUAUGAACUUGGUUUAUGGUUCAUGGUUCAUGAACAUGGUUUAUAAACUUGGUUCAUAGUCCAUGAGAUUUGGUUCAUGGUUCGUGGGAUUUUGGUUCAUGGGACUUGAUUCAUGAACUUGAGUAUGGUUCAUGAGAUUUAAGAUUUGGUUCAUGGUUUAUGGGAUUUGGUUCAUGAACUUGGGUAUGGUCUGUGGUGUUUGGUUCAUAGGAUUUGGGUAAGGUUCACGGAUAUGGUUCGUGGAUCAUGAACUUGGUUUAUGAGUUUUGGUUCAUGGGACUUGAUUCAUGAACUUAGCUAUAGGAUUCGGGAUUUGGUUCAUGAACUUGGGUAUGGUUCAUGAAUUUGGUUAUAGGAUUUGGUUCAUGACUCAAGGAAUUUGGGUUCAUGAAAUUUGGUUCAUGAGUCCAAGUUGGAAGUUGGGUUUGGGUUGUAGUCGUGGUUCGGAUUGGAGUUGGAUUUGGGUUUGGGUUUGGAUUUUAUUUGUGGGCUUGAUUUGGGUUUGGGUUUCGAGUUUGGUUUUAUUUGUGGACUUGACUUAGGUUUUUAGUUUUGGGUUUGGUUUUUAUUUGUGGACUUGAUUUUGUUUUGGGUUUGGGUUCAAGUUUUAUUUGUGGACUUGAUUUGGAUUUGGGUUCAAGUUUUAUUUGUGGACUUGGUUUGGAUUUGGGUUUUGGUUUCGGUUUUAUUUGUGGACUGGAUUUGGGUUUGGGUUUGGGUUCAAGUUUUAUUUGUGGAUUUGAUUUGGUUUUGGGUUUGGGUUCAAGUUUUAUUUGUGGACUUGGUUUGGAUUUCGGUUUAAUUUGAUUUUUUGGGUCUAAAAGGAUUCUUUUUCAAUUUUAUUACAAUUCGAUUUCAGGUCUGAAGAAAUGCUCUUUUGAUUUUGCAAUUCGAUUUGGGGUCCGAAGAAAAUCCCUUUUGAUUUUGAUUUGGGGUCCAAAGAAAUCCCCUUUUGAUUUUAUAAUUCGAUUUGGGGUCCGAAAAAAUUUCCUUUUGAUUUUGUAAUUCUAUUUAGGGUCCGAAGAAAUCCCUUUUUGAUUUUGCAAUUCGAUUUGGGGUCCGAAGAAAUCUCCUUCUGAUUUCGAUUGAAGAAAUCCCCUUUUGAUUUUAUAAUUCUAUUUGGGGUCUGAAGAAAUCCCCUUUUGAUUUUUCAAUUCGAUUUGGGGUCCGAAGAAAUCUCCUUUUGAUUUUUGCAGUUUGAUUCGGGGUCCGAAGAAAUCCUCUUUUUAUUUUGGGUCCGAAAAAAUCCUCUUUUGAUUUUGCAGUUCGAUUUGGGGUCCGAAGAAAUUUCCUUUAUAUUUUGCAGUUCGAUUUGGGGUCCGAAGCAAUCCCCUUUUGAUUUUGCAGUUCGAUUUGGUUUUGGGUCCGAAGAAACGAAAAAUUAUUGAUUCCCCUCCUCUCUUCUUUCGAAAACGCUGAACCGACAAGGUUGGAGAUGACGGUGGCAUGGAUCAUAACGGCCGGCGAAUUUGGUUUGAUAUUUUCAAAAGAAAUUGAAGGGUUCGAAGAAAUAGGGAAUCUUUGAUUCCCCUCUCCUCUUCUUUCGAAAACACCAAACCGGCGAGACUGGAGAUGACGUCGGUGAAGAUGAUGACGGUGGCUCGGAUCUGUUCGGCCGGUGAAUUUGGUUCGAUACUUUCAAAAGAGAUUGAAGGGUCCGAAGAAACGGGGAAUCUUUAAUUCCCCUCCCAUCUUCUUUCGAAAACACUGAAUUGGCGAGGCUGGAGGUGGUUGCGGCAAUGUAGAUCACCUAUUCCAUCAAUUAACGGCUUCGAAUGGGGUAUCGAGUGGUCCAAAGAAACGGGAAGCCAUCGGCCCCUCCACUCUCCCAUCGAAGUCGUCUAGAUGGUAUGGAUGACUACGAUAGCAGGAUCUAAAAAAAAAAGGGGGGGGGGAAGAAAAAAGAUUUUUUUUUUUAUUUUUAUUUAUUUAUUUAUUUAUUUAUUUACCUGAUUAUCAGAUGAUGGAUUGGAUGAAGCGGCACGGCGGUGCGGUCGAAAAUUUCUCCUCCUUUGAAUUUUUGUACGCUUGUAGUAAGGGGCGGAAAUGUUAUUAUCUCUCAUCUUUGUAUCGUCGUCUCUCUCCGUAUCGCUAUCGGCUAUCGUCUCUCUCUAUCUAUUUGUUCUCUCUUUUUGUGUAUCUCUCUUCUCUAUCUCCCCCCCCUCUUUUUUAUUCUCAUAUUUAUAAUAGAAUGGGAGAUCUAAGGAGCGAUUCGUGGGGUUAGGCGAGAAAUAUUUUGAGGAGUUGGUUAGGGAUUCGAAAUUCGAAAUCGAAUUUUGAACCGUUUGUUGGAGGGAUAGGUAUUCGAAAUUCGAAUGGAUGUGAUUGGUUAGGAGAUAUUUUGGGAGUUGGUUGGUUGGUUAGGAGAUAUUUUGGGAGUUGGUUGCGGUUGGUUGGAAGAUAUUUUGGGAGUUGAUUGUGGUUUGUUGAGAGAUAUCCCAGUUGGUUGAGAAUUUGAAAUCAAAUUUCGAAUGGGGUUGUUAGGAUAACAGAUAUUUUCUUGGGUGUGGAUAUGGGCCGUCAUUGAUUGGGCCCACUUUAAUUAAAUUUGAGGCCCACAAACUCAUGUUAAUGAAUGGGCCUAUUGAAUGGAUUUAAAAUAUGAAAUUUUUUUUUUCACUUCAAACAAUCGAAUGAUGAAAAGGCAUCAAAAAUAAUAAUUUUAAUGGCCGGUAUAAGAUCUUUUGUAGUUUAAUGAUAUAAUAAUUGGAAUUGGUCAAAUUUUUGACAGAAAAUUGGUUGAAUUGGUCGAAUAAUUGAUAAUUUUUCACAACUUAAAGAUGUUGAAGUAAAAUGAAAGGAUUUUAAUCAUCGGUCAAGAAAAUAAAUCUAAAGUUGAAGGCAUAGGAAACUUCAUUUUAGAGUUUAGUACUGGUUUUGUACUUGAACUUGAGGAUACUUUUUAUAUUUUCAAAUUUUCUAGAUAUUUAGUUUUUGUUUCUAAAUUGAGAAAUAAAGGUUUUAAGUUUUUAUUUGAAAAUGACUCUUUUACUAUCUUUUCCGAUAAUGUUAUUGUUGGCGAUGGUUAUUUGGUAGAUAAUUUGUACAAAUUUAAUUUGAGUCAAUCCUUUGAGAAUAACUUUAUUGUUGAUCAUAAUAUUGGUGUUAAAAGGAAUGUUCUUAAAAAAAACUCCUCUUAUUUAUGGUACAAGCUUUUAAUUCAUAUCUCCUUAGAGAGAAUAAAGAGAUUGGUAAAAGAAAAGAUCUUACAAGAUCUUAAUUUUACCAAUUUUGGUACUUGUGUAGAAUGCAUAAAGAAAAAGUAUAUCAAAACAAAUACCACUAAAGGUGUCAAAAGGAGUUCUGGAAUUCUUGAGAUCAUAUAUACAAAUAUCUGUGGACCUUUUCCUACUCCUUGUUUCAAUGGUUAGAAAUAUUUUAUCUCAUUUAUUGAUGACCAUUCAAGAUACAUAUAUCUCUAUUCACUUGAUGCUUUCAAAAUUUAUAAGGUUGAGGUAGAGAAACAAUUGGAUAGAAAAAUCAAGAUUGUGAGAUUCGACAAUGGGGGUGAGUACUAUGGAAGACAUACGGAUAAAGGCCAAAUGGCCGAUCCAUUUGCUCAAUUCCUCAAAGGUGAAGGCAUCAUUGCGCAGUAUAUGAUAUCUGACACGCCCCAACAAAAUGGUGUUGCCGAAAGGAGGAAUAGAAUACUCAUGGACAUGGUAAGGAGCAUGAUUAACAUCUCUUGUCUUCCAUCGAAGGGUGUUUCCAAAACUCCCUUUGACUUAUGGAAAGGGUGAAAAUCUAGUUUAAAUCACCUGCAUAUAUGGGGAUGUCCAGCUGAGGUGAGGGUUUAUAAUCCACACAUAAAGAAACUGGACCCUCGAACAGUCAGUGGAUAUUUCAUUGGCUAUGCAGUAAACUCCAAAGGAUUCAGGUUCUAUUGUCCAAAUCACCCAUCCAAGAUAGUUGAGGCCAGGAAUGACAAAUUUCUUGAGGAUUCUAAAACUAGUUGGAAUGUUAUUCCUCAAAAGAUAAAUUUUGAGAAAAUAAGGGAUUCAACUGGUUAUCCAUUAACAGAUAAUAAUCUCGUUGCUCUUCUAGGAGGUUAUUUGACCAUAAUGGAGAUUAACUAAUCUUGAAGUAUGAAAAUGUUGAAUCAAUUGAACCUCCCCAUAAAGAGCUGUCCCAAAUGGAACAGACAAUUAUAGUGCCAGCUGCACAAAAUAAUGAAAAUCUGUAGGAAGAGAUUGGCUUAAGAAGAUUCUCAAAACAAAAGAGAUUGACAAUUCCAAAUAAUUAUGUAGUAUAUCUUCAGAAGUCUGACUUUGAUAUUGGACACCGUAAAGAUCCAUGGACAUUUUCAAAGGCCAUGCAGGGAGAUAAAUCCUCCCUAUAGUACAAUGCCAUGAAAGAAGAGAUAAAAUCUAUGGCGGAUAACAAAGUUUAGAAUAUCGUUGAUGUAACACACUGGACCUUUGCAAAUUGCGAGAUUCGAGUAGUUGGUUGUGUGCAGAGCAAUUCCAGACUUUUUGGUGGGUCGUUGACAGUGUUCUGACCUAUGACUCGCAUCCCGAGAAGUGAGGUUUAAAGCCUAGCACAAAAAUCCGAAAAAACGGAUUUUUGGAUAACUCUAGGAUUGCAUUUUCUGAGGCUGUGUACCGGUACAGCCAUCAGCCUGUACCUGUACAAGGUUGAUGGUUGUACCGGUAUAGCCACCGGGCUUGUACCGGUACAGGGCGUUUACCCCGCCAACCCGAGCCUCGGGUUGUGAUUUUCGUGGGGCUUGUACCGGUACAAGGGCCCGUGUACCGGUACAAGGAGGCUGAUUUCGUGCUGUUUGAUUCUGCAGGGGUGUUUUUGCAUUGUUGCCUUCUUAUAUCAGCACCCACGCCCCUAGGGCUCUCCCCUGAGCUGAGAAGAGUGGAGAACCAGGUAAGGGAGCUCCCCACACCAUCUCUUUGGAUUUGAUCUCCAUUUUGCAUGGUUUUUGAUUGAUUUUCCUCUCCUUUUUCCUAUUGGAGCUAUUUCCACCAUUGUUGGAGCUUGGAACUUGGAUUUGAAGCUUGGUGGAGGGAAGAUCCUUGAAGUUUGAAGACUUUGAGCUUGGAUUGGAGCUUCUAAGAGGUAAGUGACAAGAUCCUUUCCUCUAGAUUUGAAUUUUGGAGGUUUCUUUGGGAUGAAACCCUAGAAUGAGGUUUUAGGGUUUAUUUUGGGUGUUUUUGUUUUAGGGCUUUCAGAGCUCAAUUGGUUGGAUUAGAACCUUCCUUUGGGCUAGUUUGGAAGGGUUCUAGCUCUCUUUUGGAGCUUUGGAAGAGAUUUUUACUCUUGAGGUGAGUUCUUGCCCUUUUGCUUCUAGGUUAAUGAUUGAGCUUUUUGCUCUUCGUUUCGUUUAGGUAACCCCGUUUUUGAUGUUCCUAGGGUGCUAGGAAGCUUGUGGAUACCCCCGUUCGGCGAAACGAAGGUUUCGAUUUUGGUGGGUUUGACCUAGCCUAUAAUAUGAGAAACUCUCAUAUAUGGUGAUAUAUGUUUCGUAAAUUGAAAAAUUAUGCAAAUUCAUGUUACGUGUAUUUAUUAUGAUUUUUAGAAUGCCUAAAAUGUCUAUGUUGUAUGUAAUAAAAUUUUAGACCUCUAUGUAGUAGAGAGUUGCUUGAGAGACAUAGGGUUGCAUUAGCGUUCUAUAUGAGACUUGGUUUCAUGUUUCUAUUGUGUAAAUGAGUCUUGUUACAUGCAUUCAAACUUAAGUUUAAUUGAGACAUGAAAGAUAACAAAUUGCCAUACAGAGGCACCGAACUUGGUUAUUAUGUGAUUUAGAGGGCUAAUGUCAUCAAGCGGCAUUGAGCUCGGGAUAUGGUUGAACCUUGUGAAUAGGGCCAUUGAGGGAUUGGAAACAUGUUGAACAUUAAAUUGUCUAAGUGUCAUCAAGGGGCACUAGGCGUAAUGAAUGUUGAAACUUUACAUUGUGACUUAAAUUAGAUUUUCGGGAUGCUAGUGACUAUACCAUGUUAGAGACAUGAGGAUUGGAUACUUGAGACUUGGACUAUGCUUACUUGCCAUUUGUGCUCAUUCGCACAUGCUUGUGAGGGUCGCUCCCUACAAGCCGGCACUCCGGAGUUAGCCUACGCGGUUAUGCUCGCUCGUGCGGUAUCGAGAAACCUACAGGGUCGGGAGGGAUAGACUCAUUCCUAGAGUAGGAAUGCUGGGGCUACCACCGACACUUAGGCGGCAAAAGCUGGACUACAAAUAUGUAGGGCCUAGAACAUGUAUGAACUAUGACAUUGAACCGGGAAUGGAUGAUCACUACUAGAUAGGCUUAGUAGUUGGAUUACUUUGACAUGCUCAUGACAUAGCUUUGGGACAUUUGGUAUACUUGCUUGCUUCAUUAUUGCAUUGUAGUAUACUUGGUUGCUUUGAUAGAGCUUAUUCCCUAUGUAUUGACAUACUGCAUCGAGAUGCUUACUUGUCCGUUAUGAUUGGAACUUAAUAGUCAUGCUUUGGACAUACUUAUCAUGAUAGAGUAGAUGUACUAUACUUUGACAUCAUGCUUACUUGAGAUGUAGUAGUAUAACAUUUCAUUUAUGCUUUCUUUCAGCAGUUCUUAUACUCGCUCUUUAUUGUUUAUUAUUAUUGUCGUUACUUACCCUUUUCUUUCGAGGCCUAGUGGUGCAUAGAGCUGAGGUCAGUAAUUGCCCACUGGGAACUAUAAAUUAUAGUUCUCACGCCCUCUGUUUUAUAUUUCCUUUCAGAGCCUUCCACGCCGGGAGAGGCUAGGGACCGCGAGAAGGGAGUUGCUUCGAGCUAGCUUCCUUCGAGGACGAUUUGAUAGGUUGUCUACCUCUCGUUGUUUUAUUUUGUGAGAGGUUGAGAGUUGUACCCGUAUGUGUAUAGAGACCACCCUUCUUUUGGAUUUAUGUAUUCCUUUUGAGGAGUUAGUAUUGUAUCACCUUGUGCUUUACUAUUAUGGAUUAGUAUGUUUCCUUUAUUUUUGUUUUAGAAUAUAGAACUUUACUCGCUCUGAUAUCGUUAGUUGUUAUUCAUUCCUAGUUAUUGUAUUUCUUACUUUUACUUCAGCUUUUAUUGUAGACGCCUUAUAUGUGUAGACAUAUGGCGGGUCUGGACGCGCUUCCGGGAGGGCCUCUGCCUGUCUCGGGGCGUGACAGAUUAAUUUGGUAUCAGAGCCUAGGGUUGAGUCUUAGUGGACCUAGCAAACCUUAGGCCGGUUGGACUAUAGGAAUUAGGCUUGUGAGAGACGAGGUCUAAUUGACUUGUGAGCGAAAGUAUUAUGAUUGGGUUUUAUGACAACUCUAAAAAGUUAGAGUUUGACCGGAGUAUAUGGCUUCUAACUUCGCAGAGGGUUAUCUUGGCGGCCGACAACGUAACAUCGGGAGUUAGUAGUGAAGGAUACUCCCCUACUUUCGAAUGAUUUGGGUUUUAUCUAUUUAAGCGGGGAUGCAAUAGCGUGGGUUACUAACUUGCGCUUUUAUGUUUUGUAGUGACGAUGCCGAUUACACGCUCCCAGUCUGCCGGGGCGGAUGAUGCGGCACACCCCGAGAAGGUCAAGACCUCCGCUACUUCCGGAUCUAGUGAGGUCCGUGACUUGAGGACCCAGCUUGCGGUCCUCACUGAUUUGUUGGCACAGCAGACGGCAGCGGCGCAGCGACAGGCUGAGGUGGCUCAGCGGCAGGAGGCGCGGAUGAAGCAUCUUGAGGACCUCCUACUUCAGCAGGCGGCAGCUUCGAGGGAGACCCAGGGUCCCACACCGCCAGCACCCGUGGUGGACGUCACACCGAGGGCGCAGUCCCCCGCGCCCAGUUCUUCACGUGCGGCACCGACAACCACACCUCGGGAGGAGAUGGCUACGGCACACCCAGUUUAGAGACCGGCCACGGGGGCAGCUUUCCCCGUGAGGGCCUAGGGAGCCGAGCAGGAUCGGCUCAUGGAUCACCUCAGUGAGUUCAGGAGGUGCAGCCCGAGGACAUUUGAUGGCGAGAACGUCAACCACUGGAUUGUUGAGAAGUGGUUGAUACAUAUGGAGAAGCUUUUUCGAGACACCUUUGUGCAGGAGCGGGAUAGAGUUUGGCUUGCCACUCACUUCCUGGAUGGCGAGGCCUAUCGUUGGUGGUUGGAUAUCCAGGACAACCCCAGCACCGACUUGACAGCGAUCACUUGGACGCGAUUCAAGGAGCUUCUUAUGGCGCACUACUUCCCGACCAGCAUCAAGAGGAAGAUGGAACAGGAUUUGCGCAGCUUGCGCCAGGACGAGCGGACAGUGGCCGAGUACGUGAGGGAGUUCUCCUGGCUACUUCACUUUGUACCGUUUGUUGUGAGGGAUGAUGAGGACAAGGCCCGCAUUUUUUAGCGCAGAUUGCGGCCUUCUAUCUUUCUGUUGGUACAGUCAUCCAACCUCCAGACCUACCGGGAGGUUGUGGAUCGAGCAUUGAUAUGGAGGCAGGAGAGGCGGAUUUGCAGGAGCGUCGCGAGAGCUCAGAGAGAGGGAAGGGAAAGAGGCCCGCGGCUGAGAGUGCGAGUCAGACGCACUCACGGAGGCCGCCGAGGCACCCCCGGAGUCGGAGCCAGUCGCGAGGACGUGGCUCGUCUACUCAGCGCGAAGGACCCUCGUCGUCAGGCUCCCCGCUGCGUGAUCUGUGAUGGUCCCCACUACCUGCGACAGUGUUCACGCAGCCAAGGCAGGUGUUUCUCGUGUGGCCAGGAGGGCCAAUUCCAGUCGGACUGCUCGAGAGGUUCAGCGCCAGCGCCAUCUUCGGCAUCUGCACCAGCAUCGCCAGGUCCCAGUCAGGGGACAUCUUCUGCGCAUCACCAGGCAGGACGGCCGCCAGUUCAGCGGCAGGGGGAGGGGUCACGACAGGCCCCGAGCAGGCGCAUGUACGCGGCCCAGACUGAGGAGGCGGCGGCGGCAGCCGAGAAUGUGGUCGCAGGUAUCAUUUUACUUUAUGGUAUUCGAGUUAGAGCUUUAUUUGAUACCGGUGCAUCGCAUUCAUUCAUAGACCGGCUGUUUGCCGAGUUGCAUGGCAUCCCACUUGUAUCCUUGUUGCAUCCGGGACGAGUUGUUGUACCCGAUCAUUCUUUGGACAUUCGGGAGUUUUGCCCUAGUUGCCAUGUUCGGG
rnacentral:lncRNA from 1 species